rnacentral:rRNA from 1 species
GCUUGCAUCAUGAUUUACAUUUGAGUGAGUGGCGAACUGGUGAGUAACACGUGGGAAACCUGCCCAGAAGCGGGGGAUAACACCUGGAAACAGAUGCUAAUACCGCAUAACAACUUGGACCGCAUGGUCCGAGCUUGAAAGAUGGCUUCGGCUAUCACUUUUGGAUGGUCCCGCGGCGUAUUAGCUAGAUGGUGGGGUAACGGCUCACCAUGGCAAUGAUACGUAGCCGACCUGAGAGGGUAAUCGGCCACAUUGGGACUGAGACACGGCCCAAACUCCUACGGGAGGCAGCAG